AACGAACGCUGGCGGCAGGCCUAACACAUGCAAGUCGAGCGAGAUCUUCGGGUCUAGCGGCGGACGGGUGAGUAACGCGUGGGAAUAUGCCUCUUGGUACGGAAUAGCCUCGGGAAACUGGGAGUAAUACCGUAUGUGCCCUUUGGGGGAAAGAUUUAUCGCCAAGAGAUUAGCCCGCGUUGGAUUAGGUAGUUGGUGGGGUAAUGGCCUACCAAGCCGACGAUCCAUAGCUGGUUUGGGAGGAUGAUCAGCCACACUGGGACUGGGACACGGCCCAGACUCCAGGGGGCGGCGGAGGAGGGGAAACUAAGGGAGGGGGGCAAACCUGAUAUAGCCAUGUCCGGGGAGUGGUGAAGGGCUUUGGGUUGUAAAGCCCCUUCAGACGGGAAGAUAAUGACGGUACCAGCAGAAGAAGCCCCGGCUAACUCCGUG
rnacentral:rRNA from 1 species